GCACCAGUGGCGCAAUGGAUAGCGCGUAGCCCUCCUAAGGCUGUGGUUGUGGGUUCGAGUUCGAGUUCGAGUCCCAUCUGGUGUG
rnacentral:tRNA from 1 species